rnacentral:rRNA from 1 species
CCUCAUUGAGCCGUACCCGAAACCGACACAGGUGGGAAGGUAGAGUAUACCAAGGCGUUGAGAGAACUAUGGUUAAGGAACUCGGCAAAUUGCACGCGUAACUUCGGGAUAAGCGUGCCCGGUUGUAGCGCAAGCUAUGGCCGGGGGCACAUAAGAGGGGGUGGCAACUGUUUAUCAAAAACACAGGGCUCUGCAAACUCCAAAGAGGAAGUAUAGGGUCUGACGCCUGCCCGGUGCUGGAAGGUUAAGAAAAGCUGUUAACGCAGUGGAUUGAAGCCCCAGUAAACGGCGGCCGUAACAAUAACGGUCCUAAGGUACCGAAAUUCCUUGUCGGGUAAGUUCCGACCCGCAUGAAUGGCGUAAUGAUCUCCCCACUGUCUCAACCAUAGACUCAGCGAAAUAGAAUUCCUCGUGAAGAUGCGGGGUACCCGCGGCUAGACGGAAAGACCCUAUGAACCUUUACUGUAGCUUUACAGUGGGCUUAGGAAAUGCUUGUGCAGAAUAGGUAGGAGGCGAUGAAGCCAAGGCGUCAGCUUUGGUGGAGCCAACUUUGAGAUACUACCCUGGCAUUUCUUGAGUUCUAACCUCGCACCGAACCGGUGCAGGGACCCUGUAUGGUGGGCAGUUUGACUGGGGCGGUCGCCUCCCAAAGAGUAACGGAGGCGCUCGAAGUUCGGCUCAGGACGGUUGGAAACCGUCUCUCGAGUGUAAUGGCAAAAGCCGGGCUGACUGCAAGAGGGACACCUCGAGCAGGUGGGAAACCAGGACAUAGUGAUCCGGUGGUUCCGCAUGGAAGGGCCAUCGCAAACGGAUAAAAGGUACUCUAGGGAUAACAGGCUGAUCGCAUCCAAGCGUCCAUAGCGACGAUGCGGUUUGGCACCUCGAUGUCGACUCAUUACAUCCUGGGGCUGGAGCAGGUCCCAAGGGUUCGGCUGUUCGCCGAUUAAAGUGGUACGUGAGUUGGGUUCAAAACGUCGUGAGACAGUUUGGUCCCUAUCUACCGUGGGUGUAGGAGUGUUGAGAUGAGUUGCCCUUAGUACGAGAGGACCGGGGCGAACACACCUCUGGUGUAUCUGUUGUGGCGCCAGCCGCAUUGCAGAGUAGCUAUGUGUGGACGGGAUAACCGCUGAAAGCAUCUAAGCGGGAAGCCCCCAUCAAAACAAGCACUCCCAAUAAGACCGUUGUAGACUACGACGUUGAUAGGUCAGGUGUGUAAGUGCAGCAAUGCAUUGAGCUAACUGAUACUAAUGAUC